GUGAGGAAUUUUCCGCAAUGGGCGAAAGCCUGACGGAGCAAUGCCGCGUGAAGGAUGAAGGCCUAUGGGUUGUAAACUUCUUUUCUCAGAAAAGAAUUAUGACGGUAUCUGAGGAAUAAGCAUCGGCUAACUCUGUGCCAGCAGCCGCGGUAAGACAGAGGAUGCAAGCGUUAUCCGGAAUGAUUGGGCGUAAAGCGUCUGUAGGUUGUUUAAAAAGUAUUCUGUCAAAGAUUAGGGCUUAACCCUAGAUAGGCAGAAUAAACUUUUAAGCUAGAGUGUGGUAGAGGCAGAGGGAAUUCCCGGUGGAGCGGUGAAAUGCGUAGAUAUCGGGAGGAACACCAAAGGCGAAGGCACUCUGCUGGGCCAAUACUAACACCGAGAGACGAAAGCGAGGGGAGCAAAUGGGAUUAGAUACCCUUGUAGUCC
rnacentral:rRNA from 1 species